rnacentral:rRNA from 1 species
AGAAUCAACGCUGGCGGCGUGCCUCAGACAUGCAAGUCGAACGCGAAAGCCCCCUUCGGGGGGCAAGUAGAGUGGCGCACGGGUGAGUAACACGUAGGUAAUCUACCUUCGGGUGGGGAAUAACAACCGGAAACGGUUGCUAAUACCGCAUAAUGCAGCGGCACCUAAUGGUGACAGUUGUUAAAGCGGGGGAUCGAAAGAUCUCGCGCCUGAAGAGGAGCCUGCGGCGGAUUAGCUAGUUGGUAGGUAACGCCUACCAAGGCGACGAUCCGUA